CUCACCUUCCUCGGCAGAAGAACCUAAUGCAGACUUCAUUUCACAUCGAAAAAAUUCAAGACAGCUGUUUAUCCUUUCACAUUGAGACCUAUGGAAGAGGGUUACAUAGUGACAGAAAAACGCCAAAUACAGAGUAUAUAAGAUGAGCACCAGAUGCAUAUUGGAGUUUGAACUGUUCUUAGACCAUCAACUUACAAUGGCAAAAUAUCGAAUAGGAAUAUAACAGAUAAGCAGAAAACAGAGUAGGGAACAACAGUUCCAAACCUUUUCGACAAUGAACAAAAUAUUGUGACCAAGACUUUGUUUGUUUCAACAUCCCUUGCUGCCUUGGUGAGUUUAAACGAAUUCAAGCAUCCAAGUAUAUUAAAUAAUAUAGUUAAAUAAAUAUUACAUAGAGACAGAAAAACACUGAAUAUAGGGUAUAUUAGAUGGACAGAAAACUAAUUGAAUAAGGGCAGCGGAUGCAAACUGCUGUUAUAUCAAUCAUAUGACAGUGGAAUAUCAAAUAUGGAUAUAAUAGAUCAGCAAAAAACAGGGUAGGGUACAACAGUUUCCAACCUUGUGGGCAAUGAUCAAAAUACUGUGAUUACAAAGACUUGGUUUGUGUACAUCCCUUGCUGUCUUGGUGGGCUUAAACAAAUUCAACCAUGCCAGGGUACAUUAAAUAAAUACAAAGAAGCUAACAACCCUAAUGCAAUCCUAUGUGAAGCAUUAAAAAAACAGUGAAGCUGACAACCCUAAUGUUCCUUCAAAUCCUCCUUAUGUGAUCACUAAGGCAGGUGGGUACAACAUCCCUCUCUUUGCAAUACCCUGGGAGAUAAACCGAAGCUUUAAACAGUAAUGCCUGUUAUGGCCUAGGAGAGAGGACAUCUAGCCUCAAUUACAGUUUGAGAAGGUACAGCAGAGAGCACAUCCAGAUUCAAACUCUGGAGAAAUAGCAGGCAUCGGGAUUUUGGAGGGUACGUGAUUUACCUUGAUAGGUAUUCCUUGGAGGAGACAAGAACCACCCCCAACAAAUGGUCGUAAUUUAAUCCAGGCCUCAGCGGAUCAGAAGACUGUUGGCUCGAUGGCCCAGAAGAAUAACGCCUCAGUGUGAAGGUCUGCCCAGGGUCGCCAUGGGACUUCAUCCCAAGCAACUCCAGCAUCCUUGUG
rnacentral:lncRNA from 1 species